rnacentral:rRNA from 1 species
AGCGAACGCUGGCGGCAGGCCUAACACAUGCUAGUCGAACGAGGUCUUCGGACUUAGUGGCGGACGGGUGAGUAACACGUGGGAACGUGCCCUUUGGUACGGAAUAACUCAGGGAAACUUGAGCUAAUACCGUAUGUGCCCUUCGGGGGAAAGAUUUAUCGCCAUUGGAGCGGCCCGCGUCUGAUUAGCUAGGUGGUGAGGUAAAGGCUCACCAAGGCGACGAUCAGUAUCUGGUCUGAGAGGAUGAUCAGCCACAUUGGGACUGAGACACGGCCCAAACUCCUACGGGAGGCAGCAGUGGGGAAUCUUGCGCAAUGGGCGAAAGCCUGACGCAGCCAUGCCGCGUGAAUGAUGAAGGUCUUAGGAUUGUAAAAUUCUUUCACCGGGGACGAUAAUGACGGUACCCGGAGAAGAAGCCCCGGCUAACUUCGUGCCAGCCGCCGCAGUAAAAC